rnacentral:lncRNA from 1 species
UGCGUGGUAGACUUAGCUCAGUUAUCUUUAGGGAAAAUGUAUCAAUAUAUUUCUGUCGUUGUUAUGCAUGUUAAAGAUUGAUAAGAAUAACAGGAGUUGUGAGAUAUAUAUAUAUAUAUAUGUCAACAAUAAUAGAGCGUUCUCACAUUUUUGAUUAAAGAUAGGAUCGAACGUUAAAGGAGCCCAGUUCUGACUGAAUUAUCAUUGAUAUUGUUAUAUUUAAAAAAAUAACUGUUUACAAAAUUUUGUUUGAUUUUUUUUAAAUG